rnacentral:rRNA from 1 species
AGCGAACGCUGGCGGCAUGCCUAACACAUGCAAGUCGCAGGGAGUGGCGGACGGGUGAGGAACGCGUGGGGAUCUGUCUUCGGGUGGGGGAUAACCGCGGGAAACCGCGGCUAAUACCGCAUGCCCGGGGGGGAGCCCGCGUCCGAUUAGCUCGUUGGCGGGGUAGUGGCCCACCAAGGCUACGAUCGGUAGCUGGUCUGAGAGGGUGAUCAGCCACACUGGGACUGAGACACGGCCCAGACGCCUACGGGAGGCAGCAGUGGGGAAUAUUGGACAAUGGGCGCAAGCCUGAUCCAGCAAUGCCGCGUGGGUGAAGAAGGUCUUCGGAUUGUAAAGCCCUUUCGCGGGGACGCGGUACCCGCAGAAGAAGCCCCGGCCAACUUCGUGCCAGCAGCCGCGGUAAUAC